GUGCAGUGGGGCGUGCUAUACAUGCAGUCGUAACGAGACGCUAAUCAGAAGCUUGCUUUUAAAAGGUUAGCGGCGGACGGGUGAGUAACACGUGGGCAACCUGCCUGUAAGAUCGGGAUAACGCCGGGAAACCGGGGCUAAUACCGGAUAGUUUUUUCCUCCGCAUGGAGGAAAAAGGAAAGACGGCUUUUGCUGUCACUUACAGAUGGGCCCGCGGCGCAUUAGCUAGUUGGUGGGGUAACGGCUCACCAAGGCAACGAUGCGUAGCCGACCUGAGAGGGUGAUCGGCCACAUUGGGACUGAGACACGGCCCAAACUCCUACGGGAGGCAGCAGUAGGGAAUCUUCCGCAAUGGACGAAAGUCUGACGGAGCAACGCCGCGUGAGUGAAGAAGGCCUUCGGGUCGUAAAACUCUGUUGCCGGGGAAGAACAAGUGCCGUUCGAACAGGGCGGCGCCUUGACGGUACCCGGCCAGAAAGCCACGGCUAACUACGUGCCAGCAGCCGCGGUAAUACGUAGGUGGCAAGCGUUGUCCGGAAUUAUUGGGCGUAAAGCGCGCGCAGGCGGCUUCUUAAGUCUGAUGUGAAAUCUUGCGGCUCAACCGCAAGCGGUCAUUGGAAACUGGGAGGCUUGAGUGCAGAAGAGGAGAGUGGAAUUCCACGUGUAGCGGUGAAAUGCGUAGAGAUGUGGAGGAACACCAGUGGCGAAGGCGGCUCUCUGGUCUGUAACUGACGCUGAGGCGCGAAAGCGUGGGGAGCAAACAGGAUUAGAUACCCUGGUAGUCCACGCCGUAAACGAUGAGUGCUAAGUGUUAGAGGGUUUCCGCCCUUUAGUGCUGCAGCUAACGCAUUAAGCACUCCGCCUGGGGGAGUACGGCCGCAAGGCUGAAACUCAAAGGAAUUGACGGGGGCCCGCACAAGCGGUGGAGCAUGUGGUUUGAUUUCGAAGCGACGCGAAGAACCUUACCAGGUCUUGGACAUCCUCUGACCUCCCUGGGAGACAGGGCCGUCCCCUUCGGGGACAGAGUGACAGGUAGGUGCAUGGGUGUCGUCAGCUCGUGUCAUGAGAUGUUGGCGUAAGGUCCUGCUACGAGCCGCAGCGUGACCUACUGCUAGCAAUCAGUGGGGCACUCUACGGUGACUGCCGGUGACAACGUAGGAAGGGUGGGGGAUGACUCAAGUCAUCAGGUCACUAUGACUGGGGCUACCACGUGCUCAAUGGGAUGUAAUAGGCUGCGAAACGCUUAGGUACCCAGUCCCAAAAAACAAUUUCUCG
rnacentral:rRNA from 2 species